GCCUCACCUCUCUCGGGGGCCGCCACCGCUGCUGCCCGGGCCGAGACGCCUCCUUCCCCAAGCGGCCAUCUUGGAGACUCUCUGCUUGCAAGCGACUCGCGCCGAGGCGGCCUGGGGAUGGUGGGUGAGCGGAAGGGAAAUGUAGUCCGGGCCGCAGCCCGGGACAGGGCGUGAGUCGGAGGCCGGGCUCCAGUGGACUGCCAGGACCACAAUGCCUCGCGCGCCUGAAGCCCCGCCCCGGGCCCUGGGAACCGCGGUCCGGCAGCGGGCGUGUCCCGCCGUUCCCCGCGAGUCGGUACGCCGGGUGUGCAGCCGGGGCAACACCAGCGCCCACCGUGGGCGCGGCCUUGAGCUUCGGGGGCGAAGAGCUGAAGGAGAGCUGGAAGGACGGUGCCUGCAACUCCGCGCCGCUCGCGGCCCUUCCCGCGCCCCCGCCGCCGCCUUUCCCCCCGAAGGCCACUGGGGCGGGAGGCACCUCCAGCUCUCUGGACUGCGGUGCUGCGCCGCGAACUCGACGGACGCGGUCUCUGCCGCGGAGGCCUCUGCGUGCGAGCUUCUGGAAGACCGAGGGCAAAGAGGAAAAAGUGGUCACAGCAUGUGGUAGUUGCUAUGCGAGAAACGGGAUCUGCGACGGAGAAAAGCCCGUUUUAGACAUAAGGGCCCCGGCCCCUUCGGCCCUGCCCCACACGCCGCUCUGUCCCGGCUGCGGUGACAGGAACGUGAUCUUGUAUUUUGGUGUCUUUGAUGGCAUUUGCAGGGCAAGUCACCCACCUCACAGCAGCCCUGCCUGGACGCUGCAGUAAAGAGGCACAGCCAAGAUGGACUAAAGGGAGCCCAGCUAUUCCUAGAUGCUCCCUCAGACGUGGGAGCUAUUCGGCGGAUCUUUGGCAGUUUUUGAACUGCUAGUCCCUCUUUUCCCACAACAUGGCUGAACAUUCGUGGGUCGCAUAGUUAGUCCCAUAAAUAUUUGAGCAACUCUUCUAUGCCAAAAUCUGCCCAGAUCAGAGGCGGGAAGAAGCGCAGCACCCGCUCUGAGCGCCGAGUCUGGUGGGACUCGGGAGCAGGGCUGGAGGACUGGCGGGUGUAGAUUUGACUCUUUAUCACAGAGGAUUCUAAAGGAUUUCUUUGCAGCUAACGUUCUACAGUAGGUGUAAGUGCAUGAAGUCUCCUCCCUCGUUGCCUGCCAUGUAAAAGUCGAGCUCUUUAGCACAGUCUAGACGCUCCUCUGCAUUUUGGAGGGUGCCUGCCUCCCCAGGUUCAACUGCCUACUUCUCAGACCUGGGACUUGCCGGGCUCGCAAAUUCAGAGGGUUUGAAGGUCCCCAGAUGUUCCAUGCUUUGCCUAAAAUACCUUUCUCUCCCUGCAGCUUUGCUUCUAGACCUUGGGCCUGUGUGAUCCCUCAGAAGUAUCUGUUGGGUCAACCCUGCCUGCAGGUACCAACACGUGGUAUGUGCUAGAGACCUCUGAACAACUACCAUAUUGGCUUGGCCCUGCCUAUGGCUAAGUCUGCUUUCUCUGGCCCCGUGUGGUGAUCAGGCUUUCUAGGGAUUCUAGAACAGCUGGGCUUGAAGCAUGGCUCCGCACUCUGGAUCUGGAUCUUGUAUAACCUCUGUUUCUCAGUUUUCUUGUUUAUAAGGUGGGGGUGAUAUUAGACACUCUCCUCAGAGGACUUCUCUGAGUAUUGCGUAAGAGGACACGUGUAUGGAACUUAGAGCAGUGCACAAGGUGACGAUAACAAUGGACGGCUAUGGCAUGCCAAGCCCUGUUCUAAAUAUUUGAAGUGAUUUAACUCUUGAUCUUCAAAACAGCCCUAUGGAAGUGAUACUGUUACUAUCAACAUUAUUAUUUUGCAAAUAAGGAAACCAGACUGCAGAGGACCCUAGUGAUUCACCAGGGCCAUGCUGCCCGUCAGGAAUGGUAUCAGAAUUUGAACCCAAGCUGUCUGGUUGCAGAGAUCACACCAUGCAGCGUGCCUCUCAGGAGGACCUCGGGAAAUGCCUGUCAUCUUUGAUGAGGACAGGUCCCAGCCCAGUGACUAGUGCUGGAGGAAAGGCUUCAAAAACAUGGGCUCCUUCUUCGUGUGCCUGGAACCUGAAAAUGGAUUUGGCUGCUGCCCAUGACUGCCUGGAUGCCUCCCAAAGAGGGUCCAGGGAGGCCUGGGGGUACACUAGGAAACUUCCAGGCCCACAGCAGGAGGGAGGUGUUUGGCACCAAGCCACCUAGGGAACUUUGUUAUUCAUUUAUUCAACAAAUAUUUAUUGAGCAUUUCCUAUGUUGCCAGACACAGUUUUUGCCAUAAAGAAGAUGUGUAUGGUCCUGCCUUAGUGGAACUCUACUUGUAGUGGCAGGAGUUGGUCUAACAAGCAAGGAAACAAGAAAAUUCUAAGUAGUGGUUAAGGAUCAGAAUAGGAUGUGGUAAUGGAAUAGAGAGUGCCCAGGGAGGCAACUUAGAUAGGAAGGUCAGGGAAGGAAACAUGUGCCUUUCCUUCUGCUUGGAAUAUGGUUGUGAUACCUGGAGGGAAAGCACCCAUUUUGUGACCUUUAAACAACAAGCAUGAAGGCAAAAGCCAACAUACUGAGGGUGGUGCAGAAAGAAGAUGAAAAGCGGCUGGGUCUUCAGUAAAAUCACUGUGCCACCACACGAGCCCUGGACCUUCACUCUCCAGACCUCAUGAUAUGUAAGAAAUGGGCACAGCGUUUCUACUGCCACAGAGGGCCCAGCUGGGAGAGAAGAAAAUGUUACUGAUAUGGAGAGCAUGGGAGACAGAAGUUCAUGUUCCUGGAUUUUAUAAUUCUGUGUUCUAAGGGGAAAGGGUGUAAGACGGUAAGUUGGCAGAAUCUUUCUUUACAGGAAAUUAAGACUUGGCUUUCUGGUUUUAAAAAUAAUGAUCAGUCCAUGUUUAUGAGCACUUAAUAUGUGUAGCAGGUGCUGUUCUAAGCCUUUACUUUUACGGCAGCAUUUCAUCCACCUAACCAGCCCAGAGCGAUGCACAGCUGUUACUCCCACUGUAGAGAGGGAGCAGAGGCGACUGGGCCCAAGUCCCGGAGCCAGCGGGGUAUGCUCGGGGCAUCAACCCCCCCACACCCCCACAGGGCAGACACCACUUUCUCCCUCAGCCCCAGGUCUGCAGAGAAGAUUUUUCCAACGCCCUCAGGGCAGAAAAGCUAAGCUUCCCGGGGCAGCAAGGCGCCAUUUAACACCCGGGGAAGCGGGAGAGGUAACGGCGGGCCCGCUCUGCGAGAUUUCAGGCAGCAGCCCUCGGCGAUGUCCGGCCCCGGAGGAUAGCCGGCGGAGCAGACGCGGAAGCAGAGGCCCAGAGCAGUGCCAGCGCCUCGUGAGUCGCACACAGCUGGGCCCUGGGAGGGCCGGCGCUGCGGAGAGAUGAUCCGACAAGCCCUGUUGGGGACGGGGGGUGAAGUGCCACCUUCUCCCAAAGGCAGAAGCGCAGGGGAGGCUUCGGCGAUGACUGCGCCCCACUCCGCAGGUGGGGAAACUGAGGAGCAGGGACUUGCUUGAGAAGUCACAGGACUGCGGGAAGGAGAGGUUUCUUCUCUGAGAAGGGACUGGACCAGCCUACGUCCAGUUCCAUCUUUUUUGCACCAGAAGCUACAGUCCCUCUCACCCACAGCUGUGCGCUGAACUCCGUGACUUUAGGUCACUGUUUACUAGUUGGUUAAUUAACGUGUAAGCUCCUCGUUCACUCCCAUGUGACCACCACCCAAAUCAAGAUAGGGAACACUUGUGGUUCUCUGGGCCCUUCUAACCGGUGCCCCAUCCCAUGAGGUAACCUAUCCUUGACUUCUAGCAUCAUUGACUCAUUUGCUUUUCCUAGAACAUCAUCAAAACAAAAUCAUGUAGUACUGUCUUGCCAAUGGGUUUCAGCCCCAGGCAAGUUCACUAUGGAUUCAAUGUCACCAAAGAAAUUGACAGCAAAACGUUCUUGGGAUGAAAGGGUUAUACCCAACUUUAUUUCCAAGUGGCAGGUCAGUCACUAGAGUCCCAUUCAGUCAAAGCAAGUCUGCAUGCAGCAAGCCGGUCUCUGCCUCUGGGCCCCUCUGUCCGCACAGUCGUCCUCUGGCCCCCUCUGCCCGCAAGCCGUCCUCUGGGCCCCUCUGCACAGUCAUCUCACACAGCCAUCUUCUGGGCCCUUCUGUCUGCACAGCUGUCCUCUGGGCUCCUCUGCCUGCACAGCCAUCCCGCAGAGCUGUCCUCUGGGCCUCUGUCCUCGGCACUGCCACCACUCCAGCCUCUGCUCUGCUCUCCUGCAGCCUUGCAGCCCUGCCACUGUGUCAUGCCCAGAGCACUCAACAGCCAUGUAUUGCCCACAGGUGUGCAGUGAGCUAGUCAACCACAGGAACUCUCAUUUUAUCCACAAGUACCUACAUUUUAGUGUCCAGCUUUCUUUUGUUCAGCAUUUAAUGUGUGAGAUUCAUCCGUGUUUUUGUGUCUUCCUCAUCACUGAAUAGUAUCCCAUUGUGUGCUAGCCACACACCUGUUGAUGGGCAUUUGGGUUGCUUGACUAUUUUGACUAUUUUGAAUCAACCUGCUGUGGACAUCCUUGAACACAUCUUUUGGUGUCCUUAUUGUAGCAUGCCUCUUGGGAGCCACGAGGAAUACACUGUGGAUCUCAUACAAGGUGUAUUUUUACUAUUAGGAGAAAUCGCAAACCUUUUUCUGAAGUGGCUGUACCAUUUUACACUCCUACCAACAAUUUUGACAGUUUCACUUGGUGUCACAGUAUUUCCAGUCUCUUUUAAGUUUAGCCAUUAUGAUUAGUGUGACAUGGGCUUUCACUAGCUUUCAUUUGUAUUUGCCUGAUGACUGAUGGUCCUGAGCCUUUUCCAUAUGCUCCUUGGCCAUUUGGGUAUCACUUUUGUGAAAAGCUUGUUUAAAUAUUUUGUCUACUCAUUUUUCUUCUUUUUGAGUUGUUGUAGUUUGGUUUUGAGUCCUUUGUCAGAUAUUACUGAGAAUAUCCUAGCAUUUUUUUUUAAGCAAGUGUCUUUUAUCAUAGAGUUUGAAAACAAAACAGCUGAGGUGUAAGUCAUCAUAUACAAGGAGAUAGAAAGGGAUUCUGAGGUCAGAAGGGGCCUUGACCUCAGCUGAGUCGGGGCUGGCUGCAAUCUUGAGUAAGCAAGAUGUGACCUUGCAUAUGUCUCAGGUGACUUCUUUUGUUUACAAAGAACUUAAAUAGGGUGGGGAGACCAGAAGAAGUGUCUGGAAAUUCCAUGAACAGGCCAUGCCGUGCCCCAUUUGGGCCUUUGCAUCUGGUGUUGUCCAAACAUCACCUUCUCUGGGAAGCCCUCAUUUGUGCUUACCAGCCAGCUUGGGUCCGGGGAGGCCCCUCAUUGAAUAAGUCUCUGGCAGGGUCCAGUGCACACCAGGCCCAUCCUAAGAGCCCCAGAUCCUCCCUGUUUUUGACUCAUUUCUGUCUUUCCUACUUUUGAAUGUCUAUUGAUUUGCUGGAGUCUUUAAACCUUGCAUAAAUCCUUUGUGGAACAAGCCUAUGAAUCAAUAAAAGAGUAAAGUGAGCAAUUGA